UCGAGAAUCUUUCGCAAUGGGCGAAAGCCUGACGAAGCGACGCUGUGUGAGUGAUGAAGGCCUUCGGGUUGUAAAGCUCUUUCGCCAGGGAACAAGGGAGGAAAAUUAAUACUUUUCUAACUUGAGGGUACCUGGUAAAGAAGUACCGGCUAACCACGUGCCAGCAGCUGCGGUAAUACGUGGGGUACAAGCAUUAAUCGGAUUUACUGGGCGUAAAGGGUGCGUAGGCGGAUAGGCAAGUCAGACGUGAAAUUCCGGUACUCAAUACCGGAGCUGCGUUUGAAACUAUCUUUCUAGAGGUCAGGCGGAGGAAACGGAAUUCCAUGUGUAGCGGUGAAAUGCGUAGAUAUAUGGAAGAACACCUGUGGCGAAAGCGGUUUCCUAGCUUGAUUCUGACGCU
rnacentral:rRNA from 1 species